GGAAGAUACUUUAAUACACAUAACAGAUUAACAGGUACAUGUCAAUUGAGUAACUAUUAGUCUUCAUAUACUGGAAAGCAUCCAGGUUGAGAUAUAAAAUCUCUUUUAACACAGCCAAUUCAAAAAAGAAAACCUAUCUUACAAUAUGCAAUUUUUCUGAUCAUGGAAGUGCACCCGGUCAACGUUUGUGGAGAAUAAGCUGCUUCCUUAACCUCCACAACAGGAGCCACAAGCAGGAGCUGCACCUGAAGCAACAUUUAUAUUUUAAGUCGAUGACGAAAAGAACAGUAAAAGAGAACAGAACGGGAAAGAUUAGUACAUGAUGAGGGAAAAACUUACUGUGAUCGAUUCCUCUAACGUUAUCUAAUCCACGGGGUGGCCCACGUGGACCACCACCGUAUGGGCCACUUCCUGGACCUCCUGGACCACCACCAUCCCAUUUCUUGCUGGCACCGGAACCUUUCCGAUAGGCUUCAGACUUCUCCAUCUGCACAAGAUAGGGAAGAAUGAGGACAUGAUCUGCAUUGAAACUUCCAUAGUUUAGCCAGAAGAAUAGGAUUACCGAAAACAUCGUGGCAAAAAAGGCCCGAAUCAAAUUGAUUAUGGCCCAGAAGAAGUCUGUGAUUGUUUUCAGUCGCCAUAUUGAUCUCUUAUCUUUGAUAACACCUGAAGAGCAGGACAGUCACUGACAAGCAAAUCAUACAUAGGAUAGAAUGAAUGGACUCAUGUCCAUCUACCUAACAUAUCGAUGCACGCAUGCAUCAAGUCUCGUAUCAUUGCAAAAGGCUUUUUUAUAAAGUCAUCAGGUGAAGAUACGCAUAAUAGUGCAAGAAACUAAGGGUCUUCUGGAAACUGGAAAACANUGGUCCAUGAAAGUAUAUAGAUUGUGUUGAUGAUGAGAGUGAAAGUGGUGGUGGACCAUUGAAGAUAAAAAAAAAAACCUUAGAGAUUAAGAAACGGUAGUAAAAUAUAGAGUGAUUGAAGGUGUCAGAAAUUUAGGCUCGAUUUUUAUUUCAGGCCCUGGUUUUAUAGAACUGAUUUGUGUAAUACUAACUUUACUUCUAUGUUACUUGAUUGUAUUUUUGUGUUUCCACAUAGAGUAUUUCAGUUGUUUGAAUUUUUUGCUGAACUUUACAGAGAAAUAGAAAUGGGGGCUAACAUGUAUAUCGUGUAUGAUUGUAUUUUUAUGCAUAUGUUUGAUUUAGUUGUAUGUUGUAUUUGGUAAGGACUUGAGUCAGGGAACAGCGAUGCUAGUCGUUGCCGGGCAAAUAAAACCCAACAGACUCGCCGAUCAUGGUCUACGAGGGAGGAGCUUGUGUUGUUGUCUACUUUAAAAGAAUUAGUAGCACAAGGAUGGAAGUCGGACAAUUGGCAGCAGGAUAAUCGGCAAUUCGAUGAAUAAAUAUGAAAUAAACCACAAUAAAGAAUUGGAAACUACAUAACGGCAAUGAAGCGAGCACAUUUUAUGCAUUCUCAAUAACCAAGAUCAUACAAUCUCAAAUUUUACAAAAUAAAAAUUCAGUUGAUGAAAGAAUUGAGGAUCAAUUUCACCUCUAAUGCAAAACCAUAACCUAUAUUUACAAGAAGGUCUCAAGCUCUGGCUAGUUAAUCAUAUUAGUAUUUUCAUUCUACUCAAUGCAACAAAAAUGAUAAAUACAUACACUACAGAAAAGGCACAACACAACACAGAAGAUUACAUCAUUGUCAUAUACAAGACGAGAUAAACUUUAGAUAUAUCUUAUCUGCCUUCAUCAAUCAAAAUAGUCCAUACAAAUGACUUACCCCUAUAAAAAAAAAAUCAGAUUAUUCAAUAUACCAGUGAAUAAAAUUAUCUCAUCAUAAGAUACGAACUCUAACCUCGAAGCUGUGAAGCAGGCUACCGCCCUCAGGGAUCCGAAGACAGUCGAAGAUCUGUUGUGCCAAAAAGGGAGGUGUAGAAUCCCUGUUCAUUACCACCGUGAAAGUAUAUAAAUGAGUAUGAGAUAAAGCUCAAACAUAAAGGAUUACAAAUUGAAGAAAAAUGAUUCUUAACUCAAAACCAACCACUGCAAUACAAAAUUCAAGAAAUUAGCCAAAUAUUCACUUAUUCUCGUCACAAUAUUACCUAUUAUUUAUGUAGUAAAAUUCAAGUAAUGAAAUCAGAUUUUUUUUAUUUUUCAAGUUGUUACAGAGAACACAUAAAUCAAGCAAAUAUACCCUAUUAAAUAAAGAUCAGCAAGACCAUUCAAUGUCGCAAGUUCGAGAUAAAUUCAUCAAUAAAAAACCUCUCUUCAAAUUCAGCAUUAAAUCCUCUUCCGCCUCACCAAAACACAUUCAAACAGCAUCAAGCAUUUCAUGUAAAAGUGAAAUCUAUUUUGUAUUUAAUUAUCAUUGUUGCCUACACCUUAAUCUAGUGCAGGUUCUAUGUGAUCUGUGUCUAUUGAUAGUGACAACAUAUGAUAGUAGUUUUGUCCAUGUAAGUGAAGAAUCUGAAGCUUAGACUGCGAGAUUUGGCUAAUCUAUGUUCACUAUCAGCUUAAGAUUGUGAUAGAUGAACUAAGCUUAUAGAAUUUGGAAUUAAGCAAUAUUUCUCCUGAAUUGCUUCACGGAAAAGAUUUCGGCACAACAAUUAUCUAAUUGCCUAUUAAAAUGGAACAACCAUGUGAGGAGUGAGCACUACAGGGAUUCAGAUCAUGCUUUAGCUUUUAGCCUUUACUUCUACAAUUGGCCUCAAAGUAGAUAUUAAAACGGAACAAAUGAAGCUAAGUAUGAUACACAAGGAGAAUAACACCUCAAACCAGUAAAACAAAGCCCAUUUCACAAGCCAAAUCCGACGCCAAACUUGAUAAAAAUAUAUAGGGACGACGCCAAAUCUAACUCGAGAUAAAUAAACAGGGAUGAAGCAAAAUCAACGCCAGAUCGAACUCCUAAACUGACACUAAUGCAAUUAAAAACUGAAUUGGGAGUAGCAGCUAAUAGAGGAUCAUACAUUUUCUCAUCAGAAUUUUCCAAGAAACACAAAUUUUCUUGACAAGAAGGCAUAAAGGUCCCAGGUUUCCCCCGAUUUUCGGCACCAUCUACACUACCACUGAAGAAUUCAAAAUUGAAGAAUUCCAUAAGUGAAAUAUGACUCAUUUGCGAAAUGGAAGAAUUCGAGAACAGGGAUUGUAGAAUCCCAGAGGAAACACUUGCAAAAUUUAUUAAAACAAAUGGAUUUUACAUUGAAUUACAGAACAACAAUAAGAGAGGAAACACUUUCGAAAUUAAAUCCCACGCCAAAAAUACACAGGGACGACGCCAAAUCAACUAAAUCACAAAUUGAUACAAUCUCGAACGAAAACAUAUGAGGAAUCGGCGCAAAACAGAAACUAAAACCAUGCAAAAUGAGUUCGACGCAACAAACCUUCUUAUCUUGAGGGCGUAUGGAGGGACUCGAUUUGUGAAGCAACGACUGUCGAAGAUAAUUGAAGUUCAGAAAAAUCAAUUCUUGAAGACGACGAGAGGUAUGGAUUCGCAGCCCAGCAAUCUGUACGAGACCGCGUCGCAAGCCUUUUUCGUUUCUGUUUUCUGGCGAAGUCUGGAGCAGAUUUUUCUUCCCCUUUUUCGUUUCUGAAAUUGGGAAUUUUGGGGGCAAUAUUGGAAAUACACUCCUUAGUCUGAUGUAUUUGGGUUCUAUCCGACGCUCAGCGUAAGUUAAUUAAACAAGAGUAGUCUUAAAAAUAACUACGGGCCAGCAGGCUCUCUCGGGCCGUCUAAUUAAAUGUCUAACGCUAGCAAACAUUGAAAUAGAGCAAGACUAAUUAACAGUCUAACCUUACAGACCCUAGCAAACUGGGCCUUAAACAAUUUUGUCCUACCAUCUUAACCUUCCUUGCAGCCACCAUUCUCCUUCGGACGACACUAGACACUUCAUCGUGUUCAGAAUUUGGAUUUUUUUUUUGUUCAAGAGAGAAAUAACAAGAGAGAUUAUUGCCUAAAACAGGGUUGCAAUAGGAUUUGGGUUUUUCCUUUUUUCAAAAAAAAAUUAACCUUCUCUGAUUUUGAACUCAAUCUCACUCUCUGAUUUUAGUUUUUGUUGAGCUGUUGGAGAUUUACUUGAUUGUUUCUAAGAUGAUAAUAAAUUAACCAAAUUUUUAAAUAAGAGAGCGGCGCUGGAGGGAGGAAGGUCGCGCAAUGCUGAUAGGUGGGGACCGUUGGAGACCGACGAAGUCAACGGAAGAUGUGAAGACUGGAGGGGGGAGGCGGCAUUGAGCCGUCACGUUCUUGGGGGUAGGGGGCGACGAAGAUUUUUAGGGGUGGGGAAGAAACGUGAUUUUUUGCUGGGGAAAGGCGGUGCAAAACCCAUUUUUGAGGUUGAGACGGGGGUGGAGGGGAGUGGGUUGGGGCAGAAGACGAUGGAAGAUGGAAUUCUCUUUUUAUCUUUUAAUUUAAAUUUCUCAAUUUCUUUUAUUUAGUAUAAGGAUAAAAUAGUACUUUUAUUAUUUAAUCUAGAUUUUAAUUAAAACUAUCAAACAACUAUCUAAAUUUUAAUCUAAACAACCAAACACAGAUAAUUUACCAAGUCUCACCCAAUCCAUAUUAUUUUAUCUAGGUUUACACCUGUCACUCUUGAUUUCAACUUUAACACCGAAUGAGGCCUAAAGUGAUAUUAACACAAAGUAAUAUAUUAGAUGUAUCAGUUGCUCAAUCAGUCAAAAACUAUUUGAUAUGGAGUAAUUCGUAGUAACAUAGUUGAUUGAAAACAAACAAGACACUCGGAAGAUACUUUAAUACACAUAACAGAUUAACAGGUACAUGUCAAUUGAGUAACUAUUAGUCUUCAUAUACUGGAAAGCAUCCAGGUUGAGAUAUAAAAUCUCUUUUAACACAGCCAAUUCAAAAAAGAAAAACCUAUCUUACAAUAUGCAAUUUUUCUGAUCAUGGAAGUGCACCCGGUCAACGGUUGUGGAGAAUAAGCUGCUUCCUUAACCUCCACAACAGGAGCCACAAG
rnacentral:lncRNA from 1 species